UACGUAGGGGGCAAGCGUUGUCCGGAAUCAUUGGGCGUAAAGCGCGCGUAGGCGGCCCGGUAAGUCCGCUGUGAAAGUCAAAGGCUCAACCUUUGAAUGUCAGCGGAUACUGCCAGGCUAGAGUCCGGAAGAGGCGAGUGGAACUCCUGGUGUAGCGGUGGAAUGCGCAGAUAUCAGGAGGAACACCGGUGGCGAAGGCGGGUCUCUGGGCCGAUACUGACGCUGGAGGAGCGAAAGCGUGGGGAGCGAAACAGG
rnacentral:rRNA from 1 species